GAUGAAGAACGUAGCGAAAUGCGAUAAGUAGUGUGAAUUGCAGAAUUCAGUGAAUCAUCGAAUCUUUGAACGCACAUUGCGCCCCUUGGUAUUCCAUGGGGCAUGCCUGUUCGAGCGUCAUUUGUACCCUCAAGCUAAGCUUGGUGUUGGGUGUUUGUCCACUCCCUCGUGUUUGGACUCGCCUUAAAACAAUUGGCAGCCAGUGUUUUGGUAUUGAAGCGCAGCACAAUUUGCGACUCUAGCCUAGAAUACUAGCAUCCAUCAAGUCAUUUUUAACGCUUGACCUCGGAUCAGGUAGGGAUACCCGCUGAACUUAAGCAUAUCAAUAAGCGGAGGA
rnacentral:misc_RNA from 1 species